CCGAGUUAGGGUUGCCUUUUUAGGUGCCCGACCUCCCAACCCUUUGUCUAUGAUACCUAUUGUUGCUUCGGCGCGCCCGAGGGGUCGUACCCUCGCCUGGACUCGUGCCGGGAGCGUGGCCGCCGAUGGCCCAAUUUAAACUAUUGAACCCAAAACCUGUCGUCUGAAAACGUUAUGAUUUAUAAUCAAAAACA
rnacentral:misc_RNA from 1 species